rnacentral:misc_RNA from 1 species
GAUGAAGAACGUAGCGAAAUGCGAUAAGUAAUGUGAAUUGCAGAAUUCAGUGAAUCAUCGAAUUUUUGAACGCACAUUGCGCCCCCUGGUAUUCCGGGGGGCAUGCCUGUUCGAGCGUCAUUUCACCACUCAAGCAUCGCUUGGUAUUGGGCAACGCGGUCCGCCGCGUGCCUCAAAUCGACCGGCUGGGUCUUCUGUCCCCUAAGCGUUGUGGAAACUAUUCGCUAAAGGGUGUUCGGGAGGCUACGCCGUAAAACAACCCCAUUUCUAAGGUUGACCUCGGAUCAGGUAGGGAUACCCGCUGAACUUAAGCAUAUCAAUAAGCGGAGGA